rnacentral:rRNA from 1 species
UACAGAGGGUGCAAGCGUUAAUCGGAAUUACUGGGCGUAAAGGGCGUGUAGGCGGCCGAUCAAGUCAGGUGUGAAAUUCCAGGGCCCAACCCUGGACGUGCACUUGAAACUGGUUGGCUUGAGUGCAGGAGAGGAGAGUGGAAUUCCUAGUGUAGCGGUGAAAUGCGUAGAUAUAGGGGGGAACACCAGUGGCGAAGGCGACUUUCUGGAUUGGCCCUGACGCUGAGGCGCGAAAGCGUGGGGAGCAAACAGG